AUGUCAAAACCAAUUCCAUCCGGGUUUGCUGUGGGCCCCCUUGACUCCAGGGUUAUUCGUGAGCCUGCUGUGCUAGUUGGGGAUUCCUUUUACUGGGUACUCGUCGGUACUACUAUGUUCAAUCUCCUUGAGUUCGAUUUGAAGACGGAGAGGCUAGCCCUCAUACGGAUGCCAGCAGAUAAGUCUUAUGAUGCAGCAUUUCCGAAUAAUAGUCCUCACGGCCGCUUCACGAUCAUUCAGGCAGAGGCUCAUGGGCUGGAUUUACUCUCCGUGUCAGGCUUAACCGCCCAAUUAUGGAAAAGGAAGGCCGAUUGUAAUGGUGUUGCAUCAUGGGGUGUGGAAAGAAGUGUUGAACUGGACAAGUGCCUCUCCAUUGACAUCGAUUCAGAGGGUUACUUAAUCAUACAAGGGUACGCUGAGGCCAAUGAUUCCUGUAGGAGCCUCUUCACGGUCGACGUCAAGCUUGAGCCAUUGCGGUGCAAGAAACUUUUCGACACCAACGAAAAGGAAAGCUACUAUCUGUUAGACUUAUAA
rnacentral:rRNA from 1 species